rnacentral:lncRNA from 1 species
ACGCAAGCUAUACUUGUAAUCGGCGACAGUGAGACUGAUCUACAAGUAGAGAACGAAACAAUAGAAUCAAUGAAAUGAACUGGAAUGAGAAAAAAAUGGUGAAACCAACAGAGAUACGAAAUUUACGAACGGUGUAGAUAGCGCGAGAAGAACGAACGACGCCUUCUACAGCCGUCGCGAUUUUAUUUGAAGGAGAGUCUCGGAAAACAGACACGGCGGUGGCGGUGCCAGUGACGGUUGUGAAAGCUAGUCCGGUGACUGUGAAAACAAAGAUCGGAGACUUGGAUCUCCCGGGAAGUUUGAAUUUGCGGAGAAUCUCCAUUUUUGUGGAUUCUUUGGGGUUUUGGGUUUGCUAAUAGUAACUGAGAAGAAGACGAAGAAGUAGACACUCUGAACGGGGUCCAAUCGGAUGCCGGGUCGGAUCGGAUGCCGG